GACGAACGCUGGCGGCGUGCUUAACACAUGCAAGUCGAACGAAGUGACGAACGGGUGAGUAAUACGUGGGUACCCUGCCCUCCUUUUUGGGAUAAGCCUUGGAAACGGGGUCUAAUACCGACUAAAGGGGGAUGGGCUGGCGGCGUAUGGACUGGUUGGGGGGGUGAUGGCCUACCAGGGAGGUGACGGGUAGCAGGCCUGAGAGGGGGACCGGGACCAUUGGGCGGGAGAUACGGCCCAGGCUCCUACGGGGGGCGGAAGUGGGGGAUUGUGCACAAUGGGCGAAAGGCUGAUGCAGCGAAGUCGCGUGGGUGAUGAAGGCUUUCGGGUUGUAAACUUCUUUCGAUAUCGAACGGGUAGGUGGAGAAGAAGCGCCGGCUAACUACGUGCCAGCAGCCGCGGUAAUUC
rnacentral:rRNA from 1 species